rnacentral:misc_RNA from 1 species
AAGAGUUGCAAAACUCCCAAACCAUUGUGAACUUACCCUCAACGUUGCUUCGGCGGGUUGGCUCCGGGUCUCCCGGGGGCCCCCGGCCCUCACGGGCGCCCGCCGGAGGUAUCUAACUCUUGAAAUUGUAUGGCCUCUCUGAGUCUUUGUACUUAAUAAGUCA